rnacentral:misc_RNA from 1 species
UUUCCGUAGGUGAACCUGCGGAAGGAUCAUUAACGAGUUAGGGUCUUCUAGGCCCGACCUCCCAACCCUAUGUUUAUUGAACCUCUGUUGCUUCGGCGGACCCGCCUCACGGCCGCCGGAGGACCGCUGCAAGGCGUCCUCUGGCCAGCGUCCGCCGAUGGCCAACCACCUAAACUCUGAAUGAAUCGUGUCAUAUGUCUAAGUCUAUGAUUAAAUUAAAGCAAAACUUUCAACAACGGAUCUCUUGGUUCUG